rnacentral:rRNA from 1 species
AUUGAACGCUGGCGGCAGGCCUAACACAUGCAAGUCGAACGAGUGGCGGACGGGUGAGUAAUGUCUGGGCAACUGCCUGCUGGAGGGGGAUAACUACUGGAAACGGUAGCUAAUACCGCAUACCAUCAGAUGUGCCCAGAUGGGAUUAGCUAGUUGGUGGGGUAACGGCGCACAAAGGCGACGCUCCCUAGCUGGUCUGAGAGGAUGACCAGCCAAACUGGAACUGAGACACGGUCCAGACUCCUACGGGAGGUAGCAGUGGGUAAUAUUGGACAAUGGGCGCAAGCCUGAUGCAGCCAUGCCGCGUGUAUGAAGAAGGCCUUCGGGUUGUAAAGUCCUUUCAGCGGGGAGUCGUUACCCGCAGAAGAAGCACCGGCUAACUCCGUGCCAGCCGCCGCGGUAAUAC